UUCAUUUAAACAGCGUCACGCGCUGCCCACCUGUUUGCUCCGCCACACCUGCACCCUCAGCUGCAAUCAAUCAAUUACCGCAGUGAGUCUCGCCACCACCUCGCCUGUAGAGCAGCGGGCUACAUGAGCUAAACAAAACCUGCAAACAUGUUGACGUUGCUCCAGGACGGUGUUGUGGAGGAGUUAAAGGUGUUUACAGAUGUUGUCGCGCGUGUUCAGACUCCGUUUGUCGGCUGUUUCAAACACGCACCUCAUGGCGGAAGAGGAACUUCUGUCAUAUUCACCUCCAUGUGACCGACUCUGCGGAAGUAACUUCUUCUCACAGCUUCACUUCACUGAGAAACACGUGAAAUCCAAGAAUUGAUCCGUCCAUCCUGAGAAGUGUGAAGCAGUUGUUCCAAGAGGCCUCAAAGGAAAACAAAUCAGACUUCAAGGAUUGCGGAAAACAAGUAAAGCAGCAAGUCUCGCUUGGUCCACAGAAGCUUAAGCCUCCACAUUCACUCCCAUCUGAUUGGCAAUCACUGCUGCCACUGAAGCUCCGACAGUCUCAUGUCCUGCCAUCCAAAAGCAGGUGUCCACUGUGAAUGUGAGGGGAAAGAAGGCAGAAGUCUAUAUACAAGACCAUCAAGAUGCUCAAUUCCAGAGGAACCUGCAGCCCCUACAGUACAGUAGGGAUUGAGGGUUGGUUUGGACCGUAUCCGUUCCUUUAAUCUCGGGGCUGAAGGCGACUUUGGAUGAAGCUCCUGACUCCUCCGAU